ensembl:lncRNA
CGCAUCGAUUUAAAAGAAAUGUAUACUUCAAAUUCAGCUCGUGUCAGUUAUUAUUACCAAACCUGUACAAUGUAGGUUUGCGAUUAUUAUGCAUAAAGAUUAACACACUAUUAACUAUAGUAGUUCGACUUGUCAAGUUCCUUAUGGCUCUAAAAAUGAAAAUCUCUUCAUGCUGAGUCUGACACAGAAAAAAUCUGGUGUCAUGGAGAAAAUUCUGAUAGCUUAGAAAGAAUGGCAAAGUUUGUCCUCAUUUCAGUGUGUGGUUUUACAGCUGAUCUGUCACAGUUUAUGAUUUCCUCCACUUUUUCUUAAAGUGUCCUAAUUUUUCUUUGUUAUUAAGACUGAGGAGGACCCAAGCAGGCAGGUGCGUUUCAUGAAGACGUGUUGAUUUCCUCUCCCCUUGCAGGCAGACACAUCUGUGGAUCGAAUUGUCUGGGUGACCUUGCUGUGCAGGCACAGUGCCGGGCAACACGAAGAUCUGGCUUCAGCGCGUGACUUUGUGGCUGACCUUUCUGCAGUUCCAAACUCGGAGUCCUUGGAGCUUGAAUCCUCUCCAGCCAUAUUCUGCUAUCUGCCAAUUCCUUGCUAAGUGCAAACCUGACACUGCUGCCAAUAAAUCCACCUUCGUGCCAUUUAAAGUCAUCUGCCGUAUUUCUGUGGAGCUAAUCAAAGUUUGUGAGAAGACAUUUUUUGAAGGGGAUGGAAUUCUGGUCAUUUCAAUUCAGUAAGUUAAUUAAAAUUAAUAGCAGUGAACUAUGAAAGAGAGAAGUGGUACAGUUCGUUUGAACGCUCACUUAUUCUCUGUUGUUGGAGGAGUUUUCCAGGGCAGAACAGAUUUUUGUUCUGCUGCUGUCUGUGGUGCUCUCCCCACCCAAUUUUAGACUUCUGAAUGCAGUGAGCCCCGGCUCCGAGCUGAUUGCGUCCCUGUGAAUGCCAAGCACUGCUUUAUUUUUACCUGGCGAGACGGCUGGCCUGAUAAAUGGAUGGGAUGCCAGCACUGCAGGAGACAACGAUGAU